CUCAAAAAUCAUUGUUUAUUUAAAAUCUACAACUGCUGACGUUUUGUAACGUUCGCAUUCCAGAUACAACAGAGAAAUGCAUAAUGUCCAGUCAAUUUAUUAAAGUUCCAAAGUCGGUCGCGCGCAGUGGCUCACGCCUGUAAUCUCAACACUUCGGGAGGCCGAGGCGUGUGGAUCACGAGGAGUGAGGACACAGCGAAAGUGAGACAAGGAAAAGAGAACAAAAUAAAACAGGAAAGACAGAAAAGCCAAUACCACACGUGUUAAGAGGUAAGUUCCUGUGUUAGAUAUCUGGGCUUAAUUUUAUGGGAAGCUAUGUGGAGCAUGCCUCAGAAUUACAUCACUGAAUCCAGGGAGAUUCUUCUUAGUUACCCUCACCUUUUCUUCCCACUUCAUGCCCAGUAACAAGCUCCCGUGCUGCUAGAGAAAGUCCUCAGCUAGAAACUGGUGCAAAUUCUGGAGAUGAGACCUUGUAGAGUGUUAAGAAUGGUUUUCUUCCCAGCAGCUACAGCUAAGGAAUAGGGGCUGGGCUAUGAAUACAUCUGCUACAAACCAAUAAAGCCCUUAUGCUCCUUUUGGUGAUCGACAAUGUAUUUAAAAAUAUUAGAUGAUCAAGAAGGGCUGCAGAAAGGAGGAAACAGAAACAAACAGCACACCU
rnacentral:lncRNA from 1 species